CUCUUCUUUCAAGGAUAGUAAGAACUUGGAUUGUAACUCGACUUUUAUUCUUUUUCAAGAAUGCCUCCCUUUUCAGGGUCAGUCGCCGGUUUUCCGGUGGCUUCUCCGACGGGGAAUGUAGGACUUUGAAUGGGGAAUGACGUUUCCCACAGACGGCGCCAAACUGUUGACCUCUAAAAAUGGCUCUUCCACGUGGCCAACUUGUAGCUACUCCACGUAUUCCUCCCUACGAAAUGAACAAACUGUCAGGCGCACACGGCCGGAACCGACGGGG
rnacentral:lncRNA from 1 species